AGUGUCAACACCGAAAUCGCUCGGGGUGGCAGCAAUGGUGUUCACAGGGACAUGGGAGCCACAGAAAAUACUCUCCUCGAGGCUGCUCACCCCUGACUAAACUGUGUUUGCAGCAGGAAAAGCCAAAACCUUGCCCAGAGGCAGCGCGGUGCUCCAGAUGAGCCCCAUGCCUACUCCAGUUACAGUGGGGGGAGUUCGUCUUCUGUGACUUCACCUUCCAUAAAGUUUGAGUGGAAUUCACCUAAAAUGCCCGUGAGCUCCGUGGAGGGAGGUUGGCAGUGAUGAGCAGUUCCUCUGAGGUCCCUUGGACACCUGAGUUUGGGAUGAAUCACCCUCUGGAGAGGAAACGGCCUCAAGCUGAGCCAGGGCAGGCUGAGAUUGGAUACUAUAUCCAGCCUCAAAGCAGGAAUCAAUGGAA
rnacentral:lncRNA from 1 species